rnacentral:tRNA from 1 species
GCCAGUGUGGUGUAAUGGUUUGAGCACUGGACUAAGACUCUGGAGACCAGGAUUGAAAUCCCUGCUCAGCCA